CCGCUCCCGCCGGGGUCGGCAUCGUCACGGCGUCCUUAAGGAGGGACCCUAUUUUGCACCUGAAAUGAUGAAUUAGAACUUUAAAAAGACAGACCACAGGGACACAUACAAACACUAAGGAAAACAGAUAAUUGCAAGAUCAACCAUAUGCUUCUGUUUAUACAAAUCUGGCAUGUUUUGGGAAUUUUAAGGUCAGUGUCCUUCCUAUGCUGGGGAGAGCAGAGCUGGAUGUGUAAUCCAAAAUGGAGAAUAUCACAUCAGUUUGUCUUUUUUUUGGGUAAUAAUUGUCUCUCAGGAAACUGAGCAUGGAAGAAGAAGGAAAACUACACUCCUUUCUUCAUUCAUUUCAUAAUCUCUGAGCAGUACUGGGAACCAUGGAGCCAGUCAGUGAAAAUGAGUCAAGCCCUGUAUCUGAACAGCAAUGAGCUACUGAAGAAAUAGUUUUGAAGGGAAGACCUUUUUUAUUAACCUUUCUAGUGCCAUCCUCAAAGGUACUGGGGAUUCUCAGUUCUCAGCAACUUCAAGGACAAUUCAGUGUUCAAUAUUUUCUUGCAGAACUGGGGGUGCAGAGAUGAGGGCUAGAUGAUAAUGUACUGAUGGGAUCACAAACACUUGUGAAAGGCAGCUCUAUAUGUAAAAAAACAUUUUUUUGGCCAAUUUUUAGUAUGUCAUGGGUUGUGCAAUGACAAAAAAUGGCAUAAGAUGGCAGUAAGAGCUUGCAAGAUACAGUGAUUUCACAUGUUCCAGUGAAUCAACCUACUGCCUUGAAAUAAGGAUGAUUGUAUAACUGGUGAUAAAUGGGGAUUUCUGGGCUCCUUUGGGACAUUGUUUUCUAGCUUUCUUUUUCCAUUUUUCUUUUCCUCAGAGGAAUAUCUCCAGUUUAUCUGGCUGUGAGAAACCUGAAUAGUUUUUCACACUGCAUUGCCAUUUGUGUGGAAGUGCUUGAAAUUCACUGCUCAUACUUUUUAAAUCUGUGCUGUAUGAAAAUCACUCCAAAUUUAGCAUUAUAUUAAAGAUGGUACCAUGUGCUGGUAGAAACAGAAUAGGGCGAAACAACCAUGUCAGUAAUGCACAUGCAGCUUUAUAGCCUUGCUAGGGCAGCAAUAUGGACAAGGGGCUGUUUAGUUUAUCCACUGCUAAACUCCAGCAAGGAGAGCAGGCUACUGUGGACCCUGACUUGUGCUGGCAGCUGUAGUCAAACCCCAGGAGCUGGUGGAGCUGUGAGCCCUGUGGGAAGUUUUGUUAGGGGUUUUCAUGACACCAAGGCUCUAGGGUCAUCUCAUAACUUUCCAGUCCAGGGCUAUAAUUUGGAGGUGCAAAACUACCUUCUCUUGGUUAGAGAAAUUACUUUUGAAUACAUAAAUAAAUACUGCUUGUGAUACCUAUAUGAAAAAUUGAGAGCUUUAUUUCUGGAGACUGAUUCCUGUAAGAUUUUUCUGAUUUAAGAAUUACUAAGAUAG